GUCGCCGCUGCGGGUUGCUAGCGGAGUCGCGCGUCGGGAGCUACGUAGGGCAGGGAAGGCAUGGCUUCUGUUUUCGUCCAAUGAGAAGGGGCCAGCGGUGGCGGUCGGGCCAGGUCCGGGGCCUGGGGACGCCGAGGCGGCCGCGGAGGAGCGCCGCGUCAAGGUCUCCAGCCUGCCCUACAGUGUGGAUGCGCUCGUGUCGGACAAGAAGCCGCCCAAGGAGGCAUCCCCAGUGCCGGCCAAAAGCGCCUCUUCCGGGGCCACCCUGCGGCUACUGCUGCUGCCGGGGCACGGCGCUCGGGAAGCGCACAGCCCCGGGCCGCUGAUCAAGCCCUUCGAGACCGCCUCGGUCAAGUGGGAAAACUCCCUAAGACGGAGCGGCGUGGAUGCAGGAACCCUGCUGAUAAUUCGCCGCCGCCAAGACACGUGAGCCCUACCACCUGCACCCUGAGAAAACACAAGACCAAUCCGAAGCCGCGCACAGCCUUUACCACGUCCCAGCUCCUCGCUCUGGAGGGCAAGUUGCUCCAGAAACAGUACCUCUCCAUUGCAGAGGGUGCGGACUUCUCCAGCUCUCCGAACCUCACGGAGACUCAGGUCAAAAUCUUGUUCCAGAACCGAAGGGCCAAGACGAAAAGACUGCAGGAGUCAGAACUGGAAAAGCUGAAAAUGGCUGCAAAACCUAUGCUACCCUCCAGCUUCAGUCUCCCUUUCCCCAUCAGCUCGCCCCUGCAGGCAGCGUCCAUAUACGCAGCAUCCUACCCGUUCCAUAGACCUGUGCUUCCCAUCCCGCCCGUGGGACUCUAUGCCACGCCAGUGGGAUAUGGCAUGUACCACCUGUCCUAAGGAAGACCAGAUCAAUAGACUCCAUGAUGGAUGUUUGUUUCAAAGGGUUUCCUCUCCCUCUCCAAGAAGGCAGGACCAGCCAAUACUCCUGUUCUGCAAACCCUGAGUGCACCACCCUAAGCGGCUAGGCCGGCAGGGCCACACGACACAGCUGAAGUUUGUUCUUUAGGCGGAGGCACCAAGCCUUGUUUUCUUGGUGUAAUCUUCCAGGUGCCCCCUUCUCCUUUCACAAAGAUUGGCUCUGAUGGUUUUUAUGUAUAAAUAUAUAUAUAAUAAAAUAUAAUACAUUUGUAUACAGUAGAUGUAAAAAUUCAAAUUAUUUUAAAAGGCAAAAUUUAUAUACAUAUGUGCUUUUUUCCUAUAUGUCACCUUCUUAAAGAGACUGUGUAAGUCCAUUUGUUGUGUUUUCUUAAAGAGGGAGACAAAUUAUUUGCAAAACUUGCUAAAGUCAAUGAUUUUGAUGGGAUGAUUGACUUCUGCUUAUGGAAAACAAAUAUUAGAAUUGGACAUAAUGCACAUAGAAAGUAUUAGAUAUGGAGAGGUUUUUCAAAGUGAAGGGGACACAUCACAUUUCUGCAUUUUACUUGCAUUAAAAGAAACCUUUUUAUAUACUACCAUAUUUGUUCCUAUCUCUCCCCACGCCCACCCCCCCCCCACACACACAUUUUUACAGUUUUACCUUUUUGAAGAAUUUUUUUUUUGUAAGACCAAUAACCGGGAUGAGAAGAAUCCUGAGAAUGCCUGGAGGUGAGGUAGAAAAUUAGAAAUACUUCCUAAUUCUUCUCAAGGCUGUUGCUUUACUUCAUUUCAGAUAAUUGGAGAGUAAAAAGUUAAAGCCUGUUGGGAGGAGUUGAUGGUUUCUGAGAAAUACUAGGUACUUUCAUCCUCACAGAUUGCAAAGAUUAUUUGGGUGGGGGGGUACAGUAAUUUUCUGCUUAAAAAAUGAGUACCUUGUAACCAUUACCUGUAUGCUAAAUAUUCUUGAACAAUUGGUAGAUCCAGAAAGAAAAAAAAUUAUGCUUUCUCUGUGUGUGUACCUGCUGUAUAUGCUAAACUUAUUAGAAAAUUUUAUAUACUUUUUAACAUGUCCAGGGCAGAAGAUAAAGCCAUGUUUUGACUUGGUGAAAAUGGAGUUGCCAAACAGCCCAUUAAGCUCCCUGGUAUUUCACCUUCCUCUCCAUCUCUCCCAUCCCUCCAGUAUGCCUUUACCCCUUUGAAAGGGUGCCUUGUACAAUUGUAUAUAUUUUAUUGAAGAGUUAUUAUAUCUUAUUCUGAAUUAAAUUAAACAUGUUUUAUUGCAAAAAAAAGAAGAGAAA